AUGCACGCUGGCGGCGUGCCUAAUACAUGCAAGUCGAGCGAACAGAUCAGGAGCUUGCUCCUUUGACGUUAGCGGCGGACGGGUGAGUAACACGUGGGUAACCUACCUAUAAGACUGGGAUAACUUCGGGAAACCGGAGCUAAUACCGGAUAACAUUUGGAACCGCAUGGUUCUAAAGUGAAAGAUGGUUUUGCUAUCACUUAUAGAUGGACCCGCGCCGUAUUAGCUAGUUGGUAAGGUAACGGCUUACCAAGGCAACGAUACGUAGCCGACCUGAGAGGGUGAUCGGCCACACUGGAACUGAGACACGGUCCAGACUCCUACGGGAGGCAGCAGUAGGGAAUCUUCCGCAAUGGGCGAAAGCCUGACGGAGCAACGCCGCGUGAGUGAUGAAGGGUUUCGGCUCGUAAAACUCUGUUAUUAGGGAAGAACAAACGUGUAAGUAACUGUGCACGUCUUGACGGUACCUAAUCAGAAAGCCACGGCUAACUACGUG
rnacentral:rRNA from 1 species